rnacentral:RNase_P_RNA from 1 species
GCGGAUGGCCGGAUGACCGCGAGGGGCGACCUUCGAGGAAAGUCCGGACUCCAUGAAGCGACGGUGCCGGGUAACGCCCGGCCGGGGAAACCCGAGGGAAAGCGCCACAGAGAACAGACUACCCCGGACCUGUCCGGGGAAAAGGUGAAACGGUGGGGUAAGAGCCCACCGCGGACUUGGCAACAAGGACGGCACGGCAAGCCCCACCGGGAGCAAUGCCAAAUAGGGGCCUCGCGCGGGGCAAGUCCGCAAGGAUACUGACCGCAGGGACGCUUCAGCCCGAGAGGCCCGGGUUGGCAGCUUGAGCGCGCCGGUAACGGCGCGCCGAGAGGAAUGGUCAUCCAGCCCCGGAUCACGGUCCGGGGUGGACAGAAUCCGGCUUACAGGCCGUCCGCGCAU